CCUACGGGAGGCAGCAGUGAGGAAUAUUGGUCAAUGGCCGGAAGGCUGAACCAGCCAAGUCGCGUGAAGGAAGAAGGAUCUAUGGUUUGUAAACUUCUUUUAUAGGGGAAUAAAGGUAUCCACGUGUGGAUAUUUGCAUGUACUCUAUGAAUAAGCAUCGGCUAACUCCGUGCCAGCAGCCGCGGUAAUACGGAGGAUGCGCGCGUUAUCCGGAUUUAUUGGGUUUAAAGGGUGCGUAGGUUGUUUUUUAAGUCAGCGGUGAAAGUUUGUGGCUCAACCAUAAAAUUGCCGUUGAUACUGGAAGUCUGGAGUGUAUGUGAGGUAGGCGGAAUGCGUGGUGUAGCGGUGAAAUGCUGAGAUAUCACGCAGAACUCCGAUUGCGAAGUCAGCUUACUAAGCCAUAACUGACACUGAAGCACGAAAGCGUGGGUAUCAAACAGGAGUAGAUACCCGUGUAGUC
rnacentral:rRNA from 1 species